rnacentral:tRNA from 1 species
GGGCCUGUAGCUCAGCUUGGAUAGAGCGGCAGCCUUCUAAGCUGAAGGUCGUGGGUUCAAAGAACCUUUCUUCGGGUUGCCA